GGUCCUUUAGCUCACCUGGAUAGAGCGGCCGCCUCCUAAGCGGCAGGUAGUGCGUUCGAAUCGCAUAAGGGCCG
rnacentral:tRNA from 1 species